UCGAGAAUCUUCCGCAAUGGGCGAAAGCCUGACGGAGCGACGCCGCGUGGAGGACGAAGGCAUUAGUGUUGUAAACUCCUGUCACGAAUUAUGAAUGCACGUAUGUGAAUAGCGUGCGUGUUGACGUAAGUUCGAGAGGAAGCACCGGCUAACUCUGUGCCAGCAGCCGCGGUAAUACAGAGGGUGCAAACGUUGUUCGGAAUCACUGGGCAUAAAGCGCACGUAGGCGGCCUGCUAAGUGUGGAGUGAAAGCCCACGGCUCACCCGUGGAACUGCUCUGCAUACUGGCAAGCUCGAGGACGGUAGGGGAUAGCGGAACUCUUGGUGGAGCGGUGAAAUGCGUAGAUAUCAAGAGGAACACCGAUGGCGAAGGCAGCUAUCUGGUCCGUUUCUGACGCUGAGGUGCGAAAGCUAGGGUAGCGAACGGGAUUAGAUACCCCCGUAGUCC
rnacentral:rRNA from 1 species